rnacentral:rRNA from 1 species
GAGUUUGAUCAUGGCUCAGAACGAACGCUGGCGGCAUGCCUAACACAUGCAAGUCGAACGGGAUCCGGACUUCGGUCCGGUGAGAGUGGCGGACGGGUGAGUAACGCGUGGGAACCUGCCCAAUGGUCUGGGAUAACCGCGGGAAACUGCGGCUAAUACCGGAUAAGCCCGAGAGGGGAAAGAUUUAUCGCCGAUGGAGGGGCCCGCGUCCGAUUAGGUAGUUGGUGAGGUAACGGCUCACCAAGCCGACGAUCGGUAGCUGGUCUGAGAGGAUGAUCAGCCACACUGGGACUGAGAUACGGCCCAGACUCCUACGGGAGGCAGCAGUGGGGAAUAUUGGACAAUGGGGGCAACCCUGAUCCAGCAAUGCCGCGUGAGUGAUGAAGGCCUUAGGGUUGUAAAGCUCUUUUUGUCCGGAACGAAACGGGUAGCGUGAAUAUCGCUGCCUACUGACGGUACCGGAAGAAUAAGCACCGGCUAACUACGUGCCAGCCGCCGCCGUAAU